rnacentral:rRNA from 1 species
UACGUAGGGGGCAAGCGUUGUCCGGAUUUAUUGGGCGUAAAGAGCGUGUAGGCGGUUUGGUAGGUCCGUUGUGAAAACUCGAGGCUCAACCUCGAGACGCCGAUGGAAACCAUCAGACUAGAGUCCGGAAGAGGAGAGUGGAAUUCCUGGUGUAGCGGUGAAAUGCGCAGAUAUCGGGAGGAACACCGGUGGCGAAGGCGGUUCUCUGGGCCUGUACUGACGCUGAGGAACGAAAGCGUGGGGAGCGAACAGG